rnacentral:lncRNA from 1 species
AAUAUGUAUGUUGAUUAUACAAUGAGUACAACCAGUAAAUUUCUUGAAUAUUUAUAUAUGUUGCUUUAUUUUCCGAGUACUCAUUUAUUCUUGAAUUUGCACUCGCAAUCUGAUAAAGUAAAUUAUAUUUGAUAUGAUAUACGUAUCUGAUCAAGUAAAGUCUAUUUGAUAUGAUAUACGUUUCUUUGAUGAUUUUGUGACUAUUUAUUAUGCCUUGAUAUGGGACUUGUCAGUAACUCCAUGCUAACGGAGAGUAGUUAGCCUGUGUGCACAUAGUAUUCUGU